GAUGAACGCUAGCGACAGGCUUAACACGUGCAAGUCGAGGGGCAGCACGGGAGUAGCAAUACAACUGGUGGCGACCGGCGCACGGGUGAGUAACGCGUAUGCAACCUACCUAUCAGAGGGGAAUAACCCGGCGAAAGUCGGACUAAUACCGCAUAAAACAGGGGCACCGUAUGGUGAUAUUUGUUAAAGAAAUUCGCUGAUAGAUGGGCAUGCGUUCCAUUAGGUAGUUGGUGAGGUAACGGCUCACCAAGCCGACGAUGGAUAGGGGAACUGAGAGGUUGGUCCCCCACACUGGUACUGAGACACGGACCAGACUCCUACGGGAGGCAGCAGUGAGGAAUAUUGGUCAAUGGGCGAGAGCCUGAACCAGCCAAGUCGCGUGAAGGAAGAAGGAUUUAUGGUUCGUAAACUUCUUUUGCAGGGGAAUAAAGUGCGGGACGUGUCCUGUUUUGUAUGUACCCUGAGAAUAAGGAUCGGCUAACUCCGUGCCAGCCGCCGCUGUAA
rnacentral:rRNA from 1 species